CCACGCCGUAAACGAUGAGUGCUAGGUGUCGGGGGUCAAACCUCGGUGCCGACGUUAACACAUUAAGCACUCCGCCUGGGGAGUACGUGCGCAAGCAUGAAACUCAAAGGAAUUGACGGGGACCCGCACAAGCAGCGGAGCAUGUGGUUUAAUUCGAAGCAACGCGAAAAACCUUACCAGGGCUUGACAUCUAGUGGACGAAUGUAGAGAUACAUUGUUUUCUUCGGAAACUGCUAGACAGGUGGUGCAUGGUUGU
rnacentral:rRNA from 1 species